rnacentral:misc_RNA from 1 species
UAGGCUUGACAUGCUAGUUAAAGCGGGUGAAAGCCCGUGUCCGUAAGGGGCUAGCACAGGUGCUGCAUGGCUGUCGUCAGCUCGUGCCGUGAGGUGUUGGCUUAAGUGCCGCAACGAGCGCAACCCCUAUCUUUAGUUGCCAGCGGGUAAUGCCGGGGACUCUAGAGAAACUGCCCGCGCAAGCGGAGAGGAAGGUGGGGAUGACGUGUAACCGAAUCU